rnacentral:rRNA from 1 species
GAUGAACGAUGGCGGCGUGCCUAAUACAUGCAAGUCGAGCGAACGGACGAGAAGCUUGCUUCUCUGAUGUUAGCGGCGGACGGGUGAGUAACACGUGGAUAACCUACCUAUAAGACUGGGAUAACUUCGGGAAACCGGAGCUAAUACCGGAUAAUAUUUUGAACCGCAUGGUUCAAAAGUGAAAGACGGUCUUGCUGUCACUUAUAGAUGGAUCCGCGCUGCAUUAGCUAGUUGGUAAGGUAACGGCUUACCAAGGCAACGAUGCAUAGCCGACCUGAGAGGGUGAUCGGCCACACUGGAACUGAGACACGGUCCAGACUCCUACGGGAGGCAGCAGUAGGGAAUCUUCCGCAAUGGGCGAAAGCCUGACGGAGCAACGCCGCGUGAGUGAUGAAGGUCUUCGGAUCGUAAAACUCUGUUAUUAGGGAAGAACAUAUGUGUAAGUAACUGUGCACAUCUUGACGGUACCUAAGCAGAAAGCCACGGCUAACUACGU